AUUACUUUCGGAACUUUACUCAUGACUGUUUAGCCCAACAAAUAAGAACUGUAUGGGUUUUAAAUUGUACAUUUCCGUGGACCACUCUACUAUAAGCAGUGCGCAUUUUGCGAGGUGCAUGCAAUUCUCGGAGGACAUGCGUUUCUCGGCACAACACCGCUAACAACAACAACAACGAUCGCAAAAUGAACAACGAACAAGCGAAAACCACCGAAAAGGAAGAUUUGUUGCCAAAAAGAAAAGGAAAGUCAGUUAUCUGGAAUUAUUUCGGUUAAAAGAAGGAUGAUGUCGACCAAAACACGUCUUCUGUGUUCACCUGUUGCCACAAUAACGUCCCAGCACAAUAAAAGCUAAAAAUAUCUCUGAGACAGAAGCCGUUCUACUAACAUUCACAAAAAGAGGUAAGAUCAGAGCAGAUUAACUGUCCUCAAGAUUUCAGCAGUGCAGCAUAACAUUAAGUACUAUUCAGGUCAUCUGGUGAAAAUACUGUAUUUUUAAUAUCGCAAUAUAUAUCGCAGGGUUGAAAAAAUCGCAAUAUUAUUUUUUUCCAAUAUCGUGCAGCCUUAGCUGCCGAUAGGCUUCAAAACGCCGCUUAACAAAGGGGUGACAUCGCCAACGCUAUGUCAAGUUAUUAUACACGCUUCAUAAAAGGAUUUUGAUAUUCAGGUAACUGUUCACUCAUUUAAACACACUUAUAAAUGUAAUAUUCCUUCUUUGAUUUAGUCUAUUCUGCAAAAUUCUGCUUUGAGACUUGGAGACUUUCGCUAAUCUCUGCAACUCUUUCUUAAAAUUUGACCAUAAAACCCGUCUGAAUCAAAUAAUUGUUUCUAACUGUAAAUAUAUAGACUCAAGUUAGUGAAUAUAACAGUGCCAAUAUGAUGAGAGAGCAUUACUGUUUCUCUCUGCACACUUGGAUAACAUUAAAGUAACUGAUUUACUGAUGUGUCUUUCAAAAGCUGGACAUUUGAGAUGACAAUAGCUUACUCAGCCAAUAGAGAGCUUCCAUUUAGUACAGCUGAGAUAUGUAUCAGUUGUUUUUACCUGAUGUGGUGUGUCAUAGAAGAAGAACCUUCAAAACACAGAGACUGCACAAUAACAGAUCAGGCCUGUGUACUCCUGGAGGGACUGACUAACCUGAUAUUUACUGUUGUUUGUUUGUGUGACAUAGAAAUCAGGUCUUUAUUGCAGCCUUAAAAAGUGCCUCUAUUUGGAGACCAUACUGUCUCUAUGUUGAUGAAAUGAUGCAGCCUUGUAUGCUACUAUUCUGGAGUAGUGAUGAAGAAUUGAUCAUAGGUGUGGCCGGUUUAUUAAACUGUAGAUUUUUACCAGACCGGAUCUUGCACUGUAAGGCAGCGUGUCAACAACUCUAUCAGUGUGUGAGGAUCAGCAGCAGUAGGCCUGAGUUAGCAGACUAGAAAGUCUCUGUUACUCAGAUCCUCGGGGACCUGCUCUAAGCAGAUGUUCACUACCCCCUGAGUGUGCCUGUGUACUCUUACAUACAGUAUUUGUGUUUCCUUGCAACAUUUAUAGAUGUGUAUUCACGCAGAAUGUGUAUUUGCGCGUAUGUGUGUGUUUGCAUUGCGGCAUUCUGUUCUGCUUUGUGAUUUCUGCCACUUCAAGCACCCUCUUCUUCAUCGCUCUGUGACCGAACACCUGCUGUACAGCGAUCUUUUAAUGAGCGAUCCACCUGAGAGAGAAGAGGAAUGAAGAGCAGGAGGCAGAGGAGGAGAAGGAGGAGGAGGAGGAGGGUUUCAUGGCUCUUUAUUUUUUCUUUAGUGGUGCCACCUGUGCGGUGUUAAGAGACGUAAAGUGUUAUCCCUUUGCUGUGGCGCGCUUGGCUUUGAUUAGCAUCGGGAUCACACGGCAAAAACUAGCAAAAGGAGGCACACAGCCAAACACCAGAGUCAUCCCUCAAGGCUCACAGGAAGUUGAAAAAAAGGGGAAACAAAUGGGGUCCUCCGUAGCAUGCUACCUCUGUGAAGGUGCCCACUUUUUCUAUUAUUCUCUCUCAUCUCCCCUGCCCUCCACUCGUUAUUUUCACUCUGUAAUAGUACUCCGAAUAUGUGCGGUUCUCGAGCUGCAAGUCCGCAUGUUCCUCUGAAUGUGUGUGUGUGUGUGUGUGUGUGUGUGUGUGUGUGUGUGUGUGAAUGUGUGUGUGGGUGUUGCUCCGUCUGAGCAGCAAGGAGGUGAUUUGUAGCAGGGGCCUCUAAUACAAUGCUCACUUCAAAAGCUCCUUCAGGAGGCCGUACACUCUCAGGCUCGGCCGCACUCCCGGCCCAAAUCAGCGGGUGAGUUCCUGCUUUGCGCCGCAUUAACCUACCAUUUCCCUCAUCCUCCUCAUACAUUAUGUCCUUUGAAUUUGUGUACCUAAUUAGACCUUUGGGUUUGCUCAAGCUGCCUGUCUAAUUUAUUUGGCCCACAUUCGCUAAGGUACAUGCACUUUUUGUCCUCUUUGUGAGUUGAAUAAAUGCCGGGCUGUUUUGAUAAAGAGCAGUUUCUUUUUUCGCCUCCACGUCUCCUCGACUGAGAGACAAGAUUAUUCAGUGACAUAAAGAGGGUUGUUUUUUAAGCCUAUACCUGUAGCUAAAAUCAGCCUGAUCCCCCUUUGAAAUUUUUGUUUUAACUCCACGAAGCACAAAAUGAAAACAAGCUUUCCUCCAGCUGCAGUUUCAGCAGUAUGUCACAUCUUCUCUGCAUUUUAUGGCAAAUUUCUUUGACAGUGAAAAGACUUCAGACUGACACGUUCACUGAAUGAACCCCUGGUACGCAGACGGCUGAUCAAAUAGGCUGAUUUUAUUUGUACAUACACCAUUAAAAGGCUCAGCGGAGAUGUUUUCUCUCUUAAAGGAGGAGGAGGAGGGGUUCGCUGGUGCAAUUUUUACAAACAGUCACAAGCAAUUAGCUAACCGCAUCAGGCUUAAGCAUCGUUUAUUACCAGAUGAGGAUUUAACCGUACACCAGAGAGGAAAUAUUAUGAAUUGUGAAAUAUUGAUGCUGUUUGUGUAAAUGCCUUUUUGCUUAUGUCUCUUAUAAACUGUUUAUAAAUUCUAAUGCGAGGCUUUCGGUCUCCUGCAGUUUGGGUUUGUUAGCAUUUAAUGCAGAAGGGCGGGGAAGCGAUGAGCAAAUAAGCAAAGGGCCUGCAGAGAUUGCUAAUGGAGCUCUGAAGUGCAAAUGAGCUUCUUCCUCUCUUGGUUCGAGAUUAUGUUUUUCAUAAUGCGCUGACAUUGAAUCAUUGGACUUGGGAAACAUGUUUAUUUCAGCUAAUAUUAGCUCCAGUGUCAGAGCUUGGGCCAAUGAAAAGACAUCUCCCUUUAAAGCGGAGGUGCUAAAUUAAAUUAAAUCUCAGUCCGCUAAUUCCUUGUUGUGCCAUUAGUGCUGUAUAAUAUCACAGUGCCCCAUAGCUUGCUAAUGACUUGAAAACUCCGACAACAAAGUCCAGAUGGAAAAAGUCAGACAACUUUGUGUCAUGAGACAAUUCAGAGAAAAAAAACCCUCAGCUGUCCAGCUGGCUAACACACUGUGCCCACACUGUGCAACGUUUGAAUUAACAGCCUGCCCGUGUUUAUAUUUGGGCAAAACUUUGUUGGAACCUUUCACCUUCUCAAAGCCACUGGCACAGCUUGGCGGCCUUUUUUCCUCUCUGCUGGAACAGCUUGAGUCGAGGCCUGAUUAAAAAGCACAGACAUCGACUGUGUCUUCCUGGGAGGUAAGAGCUAGCUAGGAGCCCGGCCGGGGCCUCGGGGAAAUAAAGAUUUGGAUCGGGCUGAUUUGAGUAGAUAGCGCGGUAAUUACAGGCAUCCCAGAUCUCGGCGGUAGAUAUAGCAAACCCAGGCCCAGAGCUUAUGGGAGUGUGAUAAAGAUAGAGUCCUGUGUAUUGGCGGGCAAGUGUGGUGGUGGAUGAUGAAGGGAGUGGGGAGUCAUUCUGUCACUGAUCCACAAAAUCACAUGAAAUAGGACCCAGGGUAUGUCACCUCCCAUCAUUGUACCGAAUAAAUGUAUGCCAUUGGAAACAGAAGAAAGGGGUUGUUCUGUAUGCAUUACUAAUGUGAUUAUCAUUUCAGUAUUAGCUCUUUGGCUGCUGUUAUUAAAAUCAUAUUAGCUGAGCCAUUUGAAAAAUAUAAUAAUUUUACUCAGCUCUUCAUUUUUUUAUUCUAUCUGUCCCUAUUUGCAUCUUUCUCUUCCACUCCUCCUUUUCUCUACCUCUCUCGCUCUCUCUUUUCUGUGCUGCUAAAAGUUAAUUUAUAUAUGGAAAGUCUGAUGAAAAUUAUAAGGGAGAGGGUGAUUAUUGAAGGAGAGUAAUUUCCCCCACUCUGGUGAUAGACACUAAUAGGACUCCAUUGUUGGUAGCAUUUAGCCUGUCCUGAUUACCUUGUUUUUCAUGGCUGCAUCCCGAGUUGGGUCUCCAUCUAGCCAAACCUCCAGCCCCUCCAUCCCUCCUCCGAGGUGACAUUUCAGACGGGGCCCUGAGGGCAUUCGGGAGGGAAGGCUUCGAACGAGGUAAUUGCGCCGAGGUUUCCCCUCACCAAAUUAACCUCUGCUCGGAAAUUUAUUGGCCAGCCGCUCUCCAGAAUUAUUUAAACUUGCCGUUAUUUCUGUGUCACCCGGAGAGGCACUCUGACUUAUCCUGUUUUAUUUAUAUAUUUGUUUAAUUUCUUGCCUUUUCGUCUCUUCUUAGAGGUUUGAUUACAUCAAGAUGGCGGAUGAUUUAGGGGAAUGACAGUGGCUGCUGAUUUAUUGCAGACCCAGUUUUGCUUUUGGACCAUUUUCAACAGCUCACCUGUGGAAAUAUACAUGAGGUUGCACAGUCUUGUCUGCUAGGUAAAGUAAGCGCACUCCAAAGGUCAAAGCUGGGGCACUAAACAGUACUUCUACUGUAGUUUAUGAAUGCUGCUUGGGAAAAGAGCCAAAGGAAUUUGUCUUUUUUGCCAUUUCCCUUGGCUGACUUGGCUCUCCCAUUUUUUUGUCCAUUUGAACCUAACUUAUGACUCCAGCUUGGCCGUUGUAAUAAUACUGCUUAUUAUGACAUUCCUUCAUUUCCCUCCAUUGCUCUGAGAAUAACUUUUUUUUAAAGGGUGGCGACCUCCAUGUGCAAAGUAUGCAGCCUCACCUGGGCUGAGGUCUCCAGCAGUAUUGACUUUCUGCCAGAAACACCAACCGGUACAUUUGUUAGAUUUUCAUAACUUUCAUUACUCCACACCUCAAGAGCUGGACCCCACAGAAGCAGUCUGUACGGUCUGAAUGGAUACCCUUUAUGGCACAUUAGAGCAACUGUGUGGAAAUCAAACGUCCACAGUAUUAGUAUUUAAGAGGAAUAUUAAGGCAAGGCAAACCAUUAGGAAUCAUGAACUCGACCCUCUCUAAACUUCCCUGACCACUGUUGUAGAGAAGAUAAAGGUGAAUCCUCCCUGUGUCCUCUAUAUGGUGUAUUAAAUUAUCCUUGCUUCGGUUACAGGGGCUUGACUAAUGUGUAAGUGUCUCUUUCCCCCAUUUGUGUAACUGAAAUAUGUCCACCAGUUCUGAAUAAACAUCAAUCUCUACGCCGUGUCUCUGGAUGAGAUGAUUGGCCAGCUCGUAAAGCGGAAGACAGCUGGUGGGCUAAUGUCAGCUCUGGCAGGGAUGGACAGUCAGCGCGUCAUGAUUUACAUUGCAUCUGGCAUUUCGGCCAACCGACGGCGGAGGGAAUCAGUCAGAUUUAUUUGACUUUUCUUUCCUCUCUUUCCUCCUCUCCUCAGCUCUUUUCUCAGCCCGCUGACAGGCCCUCAAGUCAUUCUUGUGUGUCUACACAUGUAAGAGGCUCCUUUUAGGAGGGAGUUAGGAGGUUACUCUUUAUUCCACCGCCCUCUCUCUUACUUAUUCUAUCUGUCUUUCAUUGGAGCGCUGCCAAUUUACCGGCACAGUCCAUGAAGACGAGUGCAGAAAGAAAAGACAGGAACCAGCCCGUCUGACCAAAGCUAGUUUGUUGUCUGUGUACGCAUUUCUCUAUCUCCCACUUAGCCGCCAAGCACCUCACACCCUUCCCCCCCAUCCCAUCAUCCCUUACCCCGCCAAUUUGUGAAUCAGCUUAUGAUAAUGGGCCGAUCAUAACAGAGCAGGCCCCCCCAUUGAAAUGAGAUCGGCUGACCUUUCAGAGAAGGCAGGAGCAGUAAAGCGCCCGUACCGUAACAAGGUCUGUUGAGUAAGCAACUUACAAGACAAGGUUACUGUCCCUGGGAAAAUGUGUGAGGGAAACAGUUGAGGAAAGAGAGACUAUGUGUGUGUGUGUGUGUGUGUGUGUGAGAGAGAGAGAGAGAGAGAGAGACAAUGUUCUGAUUGUGAUUUCACAAGUCGAUUAACUUCUGUAAGUGCCGUAAGUGUGUGUUGUGGACGUUCUGCUGAUGCAGAUGGUUUUAAGAGGACACUGAUGUGCAGGAAAGAGGGGGUUGAUUUGGAUGAUCUUUAUGCUCCACAUGGAGAGGCAUCAAUCUCAGGGUGAAUGGCCCUGGUCCUUCCGCUGAAACCCUGUACUUUUUCCACUUGGGUAAGAAGGUGGAAGUGUUGUUCAUUCAGCACAGCAUACACUCAUGUCAGGGUAAGUCAUGCAGAGACUAUACAUUUUAACAUUUGCCUUGCUAUGUUUGUGCAUGCAAACUUGUCCAUGUGUGUCCAUGUGUACCUAUGAGCCUUUCAAGAGUGCAGCAGGUACUUACAUUCAGACAGCCUGUGCCGUUUCCCCUCAUGAGGGCCUUGGUGACAGGACCUGUAAUGGAGUGGGCAUCCCCAGUUUGAUUGACUGUUUUGUCCAAGUGAUAGACCAUGAAAAAGCCGGAUCCCUUUUACCCAAAAUCUGACAACAAGCAAAAGCAGCUGUCGAUCAAUCUCUGCAUGUGUACCUCAUCUACCAAUAUUCGUGUUUGUGUCACUGUCAGCCUCUUUCCUGCGUGCAAAGCUACGGAUGCGUUCAUCUGCCCGCACGUUGACGCAGAAAGAGGUGAAGGGUGCGCACGAUCAAUCUUCAUUUGGUAAUUUAUGAAGGCGUCUGCUUGUCAGGUAUCCAGCAGCGUCUGGUACAACUCAUUCUGCUGUGCUGGAGGGGGGAACCCCGGGGUAUCUGCGCCUCCUGUCACCUCCCCUCCCUCCUCAUCGCCUGCUCGUACGGUGCCUGCUGCCGUCAGCAGCCCAGAGGCAUAGCAGAGAGAGAGUGAGAGAAAGAGAGACGGAAGAGAAGGUAAGGGAGGAAGCCGGUCGGGAUUAACCCUGUGGCCACCCACGGCAGGUGCUGAGGCAGCCACGCGUCCAGCCUCAUUAAGAGAAGGGAGAGAGGGCAGCGUGGCAACAAACAGGGGGAGAGACUGGAAUAUGCUUUCUGUACAUCCUGAAAAACAAACAUUCACAUCCACUAAACCAGCCGCUGGCACUCGGUUGCCCCUCAUUGCCUCUGCUUUCCUACUUGACUCAACAACUUGAGCAUCUUCUUCUCAGAUUUGUACGCAUUAUGUCUUCAUCUCUGCAGCUCAAUUCUGGUCCCAAAGAUCAGGUUGGCUUGGUUUGGCAGGCUGUUAUGGGAUCAGGUCUUAGACGUCUUGGUGUGCAUCAGGAGGAUCACACUCCAGUACCCAAACCACUGUGGAUGGUUGACAACUGGACCAAGUAUUUAACCCCAACACCAAGGACUCUGUCGACCUAUGAAUGCUUGAGAGUGUGGGUUUCCAAAGUCACAUUUUUGUGCACAUAAAAUGUGUGCCGUGUAGAAGUUUGUCUAAACGCUGACUGGGUAAUUCUUGAUCGUUAUGAAUCCCAAUGUUGGUCUAAGUCCUGUUUUGUGGUCCGAGCACGUCUUUUUCUCAAGUUCACCCUUUGAUGGGAAGUAGUUGCUAAAUGCAGCAGUGCAAGAAUCUUAGAACAGAGUCCAGUCCAUUACUGGCACUUUCAACAUUAGUCUUUUUACAUCACCUCUACUUAACUGGAGCUUGUUAAUAAGGCUGCAGAACUGCCCUCCAUCAUUAAUCAUGUAAAAAUAUAGGAACAUGAAGAAGAAAUCACUUUGAUCCUGAUGUGUUUCAUUGGCUUGCAAUUUGUCGUAUUUGCUCAUCUCCUCAGCCGUUUCUUAACCAUUUUAUCCACUGAUUAAAGAUUGAAAUUCACUUUUAAAUAAAUCUUCUGAAAUGAGUUUGAGCAGGACAAGAACAGCAGUGCCCCCCUGCUAUCUUUUUUUGCCCCUAAUUUCUGGAGAUGGUCCAUCCGUGUGACGACAUUUGGAGUGGUGAAUUAUUCAAGGCACUAAGCAGCACUUUGGGCCGGUUUCCCCCAGUCGGCAUCUUUGAUUGGGAAAACGAGGGCUGAUUUGUGAACGAUAGCCCCAGGGCUGCUGGCCUUAGGCGAGCUCAGGGGGGGACACUGGCCUUGGAGCCCCUCCUGGCCCGAGGGAGGGAAGGUCCGGCCAUGGCCGCCAGGCCUUCCGGUUUCUAAAAGAGAGUCCUUGCCUGUCCGCCCCUAUCAGCCCUGUGUGUGGAAGUGAGGUGCGAAGCAGGAGCGGUUCCACAGAGAGUAUCAGACGGAUGAGGCGCUUUCUGAGCAGCGUCUCUCCCCUCAGCCAGAGCCUCCGUCUCCCGCGGCUGCCUGGGCAAUUUGUCGGUCGACCUGCCAGGAGCAGAAUGCAAAUCCUCACCGGAGGAGAUGCACAAGGGCCUUAGUGCCUGCCAGCACUGAGUGUGUGUGUGUGUGUGUGUAAGUGCGUGUGCGUGUGCGUUGCCUAGCAGUCUUUUCUAUAACAGCCUAACAGGAUAACUGUCAUCAAGACCUCAGUGUAUCAUUGUGUGUGUGCGAGUGUGUGUAAUGUAUCAUGUGGCAGCUAUAGAGGAACAGUAUCUUUCUCUCUCACCCUCUCUCUGUCUCUGAGCUGAGACACGACUCUCCUUCACUGCUCAUCAACCCACAGCUCCUAAUUUAUAGACGGGCAUAAAAAGUCUGUAUUUUCGCUCACCCUGCCCACUUUCUGCAGAGCCCUGCAUAGCACCAGCAUGACAAAAUAGGACACAUGCUGUUAACCAUGUAAAAGUUUUCUUUUUUGCCCUUUUCUUGCCCAUAUGUUUCAACUCUCUCCCCCCUUGUCACACAAUAGAGCUUCCCAAACAUCCUCUGCCUUUAAGUGAUGACUGGGCUCUCAUCUGGCGAAUCGACUGACCCACGGCAUCUGGGUCAAACUCUGGCUCUGACAUGUCAGAGUUUCAAAGAAAAAAAACUCACGCACAGAAAGAUAAAUGGCUGAAACACUCAGAUGAGCACCACGGUGCUCUCCACACAGCCCAGAGUUCAGAGAAGUUUUCAAGGACAACUCCAUACACAAGAUGAAAGUGAUCUUCUGGGCUCUCAUCUCAUCUUCAGCGCUCAUAUCCAAAUACCACCUGGCUCAUUCUGUGCUGUCAGCACUUUUUAUCUCAAAAAAUUAAUACUUCUUUUUUUUCCCUGGUCAGAUAGGGGUACUUUAUUCGUCGUAGGUUGCCCGGAGUCCUGCGCAUCUUCGGAAUGUGAAAGAUUUGAAGGCACGGAUAAAAGGCACUUUUCUAAUCAACACUUUUUUCCUUAAGCACUUCUUUCUUUUUAAAAGCUGUUUUUCAUUAUUUAUAAGUGUUCUGAAGGUGCUACUGAGCUGAUUUCUUUCACAAGGCCUGAUAUGAGGCCGAUGGAGCUUGCAGAAUUGAUUAGAUAAGCUUGGAAAUUACAAUGUUGAGCACGCAGCGCUCUGAAAUGUGCUCUAAAAUACACCCCGACGUGAAUAUUAAUACCCAGGGCUUAUAAGCAUAUAUUUGAAUGCAUGGGGGAAGUUUGUCCAUGAAGUUUCAUGAACUGUCCAGCAUGCAUUGCCAUAUUUUACUGAUCAAAUAAAAUAUUACUCCUUUCUGACCUUCAUUGGAUUUAUAGUGACUGGUGGGUAAUCUCAAUUUCAUCAUUAGUAGUUGAACAUUCAGAGCUAAUCUCCGUUUUAUUGAAUAAUUCUGAAAGAUGUUAAUCAAACAUACGAAAGCAUAUUUGAAAUAUUUAACCAAACGAUAUUAAUGAAGAUCAAAGGGUGGGCUGUUUUUAGCGGAUGUUAUGCGAAAGGCCUGGGUAAUAGCUGGGUCCAUAGGAGCACAUGAAACACUUUGUCUUCUGCUAAAUAUUUCAUGCCUGCUACCUGUUGUACUCGGCUUAAUGAGCUACGGGGGAAAAAAGGUGAUUUAUCAUGUAAAGUUUUCAAAGGAAAUGCAAAUUCACACACACACACACACAUACAGAAACACACAUUCCUUGCAAUUUCCUCAUACACAUUUUUUCCUCCAGUAGCGUAGCUGUAGCCACGCCGCAUUUUCCAGGGUGAAUAUUUUAGCCCCGAAGAAAAGCAAACUGAAGUGAGAGCAAGAAUCAGGGGUCAAUGGUGUGUCUUUAAAGAAACUUUCCCUCUCUUCGCCUCUCUGCUCUGUUCCCCCCUCGAAUAUUAAUAUCAGCGAGGGAGAGCCAGAUGGGGGGUGACAGAAACACUGUGGACAUACAGUACUCGUCAGGAAGAGAGCCCGGCUCCAGGCAGAUACUUGUUAACGCUCACCCAUUAAUAAAAUUUAUCCUCUUGUUCUCCUUGAGCUUGAAUCCUUUCAGUAGGAUGACUCCAAACUGUAUCCGAGAAAAUGCUUUCUGUUUUUUUAGCUAUAUUUUUUGUUUAAUGACGUUUUUCACAGUACAGAUGAAAGAGAAUUCAGUGGUAUGUAAAAUAACAGUCAAAGGAUGUGGAUUGGCAGACAAGUAUUAAGACGUGUUACUUGAGUAAAAGUAGCUAUAGAAGACUUCAAGAUGACUUAAUCACAUAUGAAUCCCUGAAUUAAGUUUAAGUCAAGAGCUGCUGUCUGGAAAUGCUCCUCAAAUGUCAAAAGUAAAAGUAUUCAUUAUGCUAAAUGGCGCCUUUCAACUCUUGUACAAUGCAUUGAAACGGACAGAUGGUACAUGGAUUAUAAUUACCAUCGAUGUGCUAACAUGUACCACCAUUUAUAUGUUUAACCUGCCGCAGGUUGAACUCAUUUGACUGUGUUACAUACUGUUGGGUUAUUUAGUCAAAAAGUAUGUAUCUUUUUUAAGAAACUUUUUAAUUGUAUUUAAUUAAAUAAAAAUAUUAUUUUCUUUGAAAUGUUCACUGUGCAGUCUGAGAAAGCAGUUGUGUUGGAUAAAUGUGUUGUUCUGAUGCAGGGGUGGGCAAUUAAUUCUUACGUGGGGCCAAAUGAGAAACCUGAACUGUGUUGGAGGACCAAACCAAUCGAGGGGGGGGGGGUCACACAUACAGAAAAGCAAGCCCAAA